GUCUUUCGGAGUAAUUGAAUUAAAUAUGAAAGAUUUUACCUGCUCCCUGGCCGGUAUCGGUUAAAUAGCUGCACUAGCGUGUAAUAAUGUAGCGUGGUAGUUAGCUUCUUGAUUGGAAGAUAGUAUGAAUGGUAUGACGUGGAUAAGCUGUUUCGGAUAUAGUUCAUGAAGUUUCUUUUUAAGUGAAAAAGCUUAAAUUUUUGUAAAAGACGAGAAGACCCUAUCGAACUUAGAUUAGAUUUGGAUUGAUUGUUAGGUGUUAUAGUGCUUUAUUGUCGUAGAAGGUUAUUUUGAUCGUUAAUGGGAAUAAUAGUUCUAAACAGGGUAAUAACAUUGGUUCAAGUUGAAGGUUAGCUGGGGCAGCGGUGAAUAAUAAAACAUUUACUUUUAGAGUGAUGAACCCCUUAUGAGGGGGAGAAAGCAAAAGUUACCGUAGGGAUAACAGCGUAAUGACUCUUCGAAAUAAUUUAAGAAGAUGCGUGCGACCUCGAUGUUGAAUUAAAGGAGCUUUUUUGCCAGAAUCAAUUAAAGUAAAACUGUUCGUUUUUUAAAUAUUU
rnacentral:rRNA from 1 species